rnacentral:rRNA from 1 species
AAAUUGAAGAGUUUGAUCAUGGCUCAGAUUGAACGCUGGCGGCAGGCCUAACACAUGCAAGUCGAACGGUAACAGGAAGCAGCUUGCUGCUUUGCUGACGAGUGGCGGACGGGUGAGUAAUGUCUGGGAAACUGCCUGAUGGAGGGGGAUAACUACUGGAAACGGUGGCUAAUACCGCAUAACGUCGCAAGACCAAAGAGGGGGACCUUCGGGCCUCUUGCCAUCAGAUGUGCCCAGAUGGGAUUAGCUUGUUGGUGAGGUAACGGCUCACCAAGGCGACGAUCACUAGCUGGUCUGAGAGGAUGACCAGCCACACUGGAACUGAGACACGGUCCAGACUCCUACGGGAGGCAGCAGUGGGGAAUAUUGCACAAUGGGCGCAAGCCUGAUGCAGCCAUGCCGCGUGUAUGAAGAAGGCCUUCGGGUUGUAAAGUACUUUCAGCGGGGAGGAAGGUGUUGUGGUUAAUAACC